UACGAAGGGGACUAGCGUUGCUCGGAAUCACUGGGCGUAAAGGGUGCGUAGGCGGGUCUUUAAGUCAGGGGUGAAAUCCUGGAGCUCAACUCCAGAACUGCCUUUGAUACUGAGGAUCUUGAGUUCGGGAGAGGUGAGUGGAACUGCGAGUGUAGAGGUGAAAUUCGUAGAUAUUCGGAAGAACACCAGUGGCGAAGGCGACUUACUGGACACAUAUUGACGCUGAGGUGCGAAAGCGUGGGGAGCAAACAGG
rnacentral:rRNA from 1 species